GGGAGUUCUCCUGAGGUUGCUGUUUGAGCUGCUGGUUCUUCUGGAGGAGCUCGUCAUGACUAGUUUCCCCAGUUUGAGUCUGACCAUUGUCUUCAGAGGAGCUCGGGACCUUGUUGAUGCAGAGACUGCAGAGCGCUACUUGGGGCCAUGCUGAGUGUGUGUGCGGCAAGCAGCUGUGUGGGAAGGACACGCAUCAAAGAUGUGGACACUGACACCAGCAAGUAUAUCUAGUCUGUGAGAUGUGGAACCUGGACAGGAACUGGAUCAUGAGAGUAUUAACUUCACCAGUGGACUAACCCAUCGAUAAAGUUAUGGCUGAGUGGGAGUGGAAGACGUUAUUUCUCUCUUCCUGUUGUCCAGUCUGUGACUCAUUACAUCUUGAGAAAAACUACCAAGUUUCUAGAAGUUUCCCUCACUUCUUGGUUCAUGGCGCCUUCCACGGUCAUCAAUGUUAGCCUACCGAGUAGCCAGGCUUAUCGUCACGCACCUCCAUGCCCAGCUGAGAGG